UACGUAGGCAGCGAGCGUUGUUCGGAGUUACUGGGCGUAAAGGGUGUGUAGGCGGUUGUUUAAGUUUGGUGUGAAAUCUCCCGGCUCAACUGGGAGGGUGCGCCGAAUACUGAAUGACUUCGAGUGCGGGAGAGGAGAGUGGAAUUCCUGGUGUAGCGGUGAAAUGCGUAGAUAUCAGGAGGAACACCGGUGGUGUAGACGGCUUUCUGGACCGUAACUGACGCUGAAACACGAAAGCGUGGGUAGCAAACAGG
rnacentral:rRNA from 1 species